GUCAGGAUGGCCGAGUGGUCUAAGGCGGUAGACUUAGCAUCUAUUCCUCUCGUUAAAGGGGGCGUGGGUUCAAAUCCCACUCCUCCA